AUUUAUAACAAUGAUAAUAUUAUAGAAUGACAACUGAGAUAUAAUAUUGAAUUUUGUUUAACGCUAGGCUUUCAUUUAGAAAACAUAAAUUAAUGAAUAAUACGUAAUACUCAAUAUUCUCUCUCUACAUUCCCGUUGUCACAACAAAUACCACAGUUCGACCGCAAUUUCUAUGAUUCAUGUACCAAUUUAUAUUCUUUCAGCGCUUGGUCAAGAGGAUUUUUAAACCUACCCCCAAUGGAUACCAUUGACAGAGUUUGAAAAGUACUAUAGUGGAAGGGUUGCACAACGCAUAUGGUUAAUAUUGACGAAGUCAAGUCCCAAUGAAAAGCCAAGAUUGAAAAGCAGAAGGUAUACAGCCGACUGUACUCUUCUACCUGAAUAUUUCUUCCUGAGGAAAAAAAAGAUUGAUCGGGAACCGAGAAGGGAGCUACGACAAAUUAACUACGCACGAUCCUGAGAGAUAGCCGAUAUCGGUACCAGAGUAUAGCGGAUCCUGUGUACUGGAAGGCAUGUGUGUGUUGUACCGUGCAAGUCGGUCCUUAUACGGGUCUCGACACGAAGUUGGCUCUCCCUCGAGCAAAAAGAACCCUUCAUGCCUUGGCACGACUUCGUACCACGUUUUCGAUGGACCGUCGAAUACGCAUGAUACCGUGCAUCCUGUGUUUCUAUUUUUGAAACUAUGGCUAAUAAUGGAUAUUCGAAUUUCAACUUUGAAAUGAUUCGAAAUUUUAAGACCAUGAAGAUUUAAAGUAGUGAUUUCGAAUAUAUAUUUUCGUCAUUUGAAAUGAUUGGAAAUGAAUUCCAUCAGUAACUAUGGCCGAUUGAAUAUUAUUACCAGUCUUGGAUGCAAAGUGCGAAUAGUUCGAGCCUCGAGCUACGUAGAUUCUAGGAAGAAUCUAGUGGUAAUCGCCACGAUGGAAUAUUCAACUUUUGAACGAUGAUCGAAUUGAUUAUGGAUAAGAUCAAUGUCGAACAGUGAUGACCUAUAUAAUUCUAUGGACUCGCUUCUUUAUUACAAGCCACCGCAGUAGAAGAAGCUGAUCGAAGCUCUUUCGAACCCAUUAAUUACCUCUAGCGUCACAAUAGCUACCUGCACCUUCUAGGCAGGGUAAGAGAAGUUAAUACUAUACUAUGAUCGGACUAAAUGCAUACGUAUUUCUAAUAUUCUGGUUAGCACUUGCAUAUUGGCUUCUUGGAUUCACAAAUUAAAGUUUUGAAAGUCACAUUUUUUUGGAGAAAUCCGAAUCUGAAAAAAUGCACCGUGUGAAAUGUUGGAAAUAAUUUAAGAGAAAGAUAAACCGCGCAUAAAAUCGUAGCAAUUAAUCAAAUGGUUUUUUACGUCCAAUGCAAUAAAAUAUCGAGGAUGUCGAUUGAAAAGGCUCGCAAAAAUGGCGGAACAUCUGCCGGCAGGGAGCAAUGAUUUUCGAGAAGAGCGAUUCGCGAUUAAAAAUGACGCAUUCGUGGCGAGGUACUCGUUUAAUUACCGAUGCUCGUUCCAGCGUGGGUUCUCCGGCUUCGUUGCACCGCCACGGGCCCGAUCCCGGUCCGCCCACCCGCAUCCGCCACACUGGCCUACGUGGAAAGGUGCGAUAAACACACCUUUGUAAGAGUACGUAGUACGUAACCGCUGUCCACCGAUCUGCGUCGCUCUUUAGCUCCGCGUUUUUUCCGUAUACCAUUCGACUUUCGCCGUUUAACGCGGUACUUGAUCCUUUUCACUCGAUAUUCAACAAACAAUAUUGAAUCUGAACUGAAAUUGAAUGGAGAUAGAUAAAAUAGAUUAUUUU
rnacentral:lncRNA from 1 species